rnacentral:rRNA from 1 species
UGCGUAGGCGGUGCCCUAAGUCUGUUGUGAAAUCUCCCGGCUCAACUGGGAGGGUGCGGUGGAAACUGGGGUGCUUGAGUGUGGGAGAGGUUAGCGGAAUUCCUGGUGUAGCGGUGAAAUGCGUAGAUAUCAGGAGGAACACCGGUGGUGUAGACGGCUAACUGGACCACGACUGACGCUGAGGCACGAAAGCGUGGGUAGCAAACA